AGCAAAAUAAAAUGAAGACCUACUGCAGUGGUGUAACCAGAAAUUUAGAAAGGGGAGUGCAAUUGAAAAAAUUUAAGAAAUAUCAAAUGUUGUUUGAAUAAAACAAAGGCAAAAAUGCAUAAAAUUAUGUAUUAUAUAUUUUAUUAUGAUUUGUUUAUAUCAAGCCAAUAAUAUCCACUGAUAAAUCAUAUAUAAAUAUUAGUAGAAGGGAAUGUAAUUGCUUCCUUGCACCUCUGGCUGCACUACUGGUCCAGACUUGGGUCCAGAUUACAUAAAUCUACCUUUGGAUUAUAUAUAUAUAUAAAUAAUGCUUUAUAUGGUAUGGUUGGUUAUGGUGUAAAGCAGUCUCUUGUUACUAUAGCAAACUGGAUUCAGUUCCAGGCCCCAUUCCGAGCCAGAUUUUUUUUCAAGAGGAGACUCAUUGAACUCCAUCCUUUCGUUUUCUCAGUUGACCCUACCAUGGAUAUAGGCAUGAUGGACACUAGAAUAGCCCCACUGCUUAGUAACAUUCAUUGGAAAACAACAUAAAACAUUGCCCAUUCAACUAUGUGUGGACAACAAUAUGAUGGAUAUUAAAAUGAUAUAAUAUCCAAUAGAAUGGAAUGUGGCAUAAACUUUAAUUGGAAAAAAAGGAUAUUAAAGAACAUUUGGAACACCUUAUUUGAAGAUCUUCUAAAUAUCCUACAAAGUCCUUUUUUCUUAUCAAAUUUGAAAUUGAAAUGUCUUCAAUUAUCCUAGAUGAUCUGAAUGCUGUCAGGACUAUAAAGAACUCGUGGAUAGCAAUUGCUUACAAAAUAAUGAAAGGAGUUAUUAAAUAAAUUUAACUUUUUUUCACAAGUAUUCAGGACUCAGUGUUAUGUUAC
rnacentral:lncRNA from 1 species